GUAAAAUGAUUUUUGACUUAUGUUGGAUAGCUUGGCACUCGGUAUCGAAGAAGGGCGUAGUAACUGACGAUAUACUUGAGGGAACAAGAAACAUGUUUUGAUCUCAAGAUUCCCGAAUAGGGCAACCUAUAAUGAUCUCUUAAGAAUUUUUAUUAAGAGUAUUGACAAUUGGCGAACUGAAACAUCUUAGUACCCAUAGUAAUAAAACAAACGUGAUUUCCUUAUUAGCGGCGAGCUAAAAGGAAUUAGUCUAAACCUUUUUGGGGGUUGUGGGAGUAUCUUGUAUUUUUCUUAAGCGUUUUUGAAUUCAUUGAAUUUGAGACCAUAGUAGGUGAAAGUCCUGUAAAAAGCAUCUUAAGAUUUAAUUGUUUAUUUCCCAAGUAGCACAGAGCACGUGGAAUUCUGUGUGAAUCAGCGAGGACCACCUUGUAAGACUAAAACCGUCCGAGUGACCGAUAGUGAAGUAGUACCGUGAGGGAAAUGUUAAAAAGAACCCUGAGAAGGGAGUGAAAUAGAUCAUGAAAGCAUAAGUUUACAAGCAAUAGGCGAUUUUUAGAAUUAACUGUGUACCUGUUGAAGAAUGGGCCGGCGACUUAUGAAUAGUGGCUUGGUUAAGGUAAAUUUUUCCGGAGCCGUAGUGAAGUCGAGUUUGAAUAAAGCAAAUUGUCACUAUUUAUAGACCCGAACCCGGGUGAUCUAAUCAUGACCAGGUUGAAGUUUUGGUAAAACAAAUUGGAGGACCGAACUCACCAAUGUUGAAAAAUUGGGAGAUGAGUUGUGAUUAGGGGAGAAAUUCCAAUCGAACCCGGAGUUAGCUGGAUCUCUUCGAAAUGCGUUGAGGCGCAGCGAUUAAUUAUGAACUUCUUAGGGGUAAAGCACUGUUUCGGCGAGGGCUGCGAAAGUUAGUACCAAGUUGUGGCAAACUCAAAAUACUAAGAAAAUAAUUUCAAUUAGUCAGUGAGACAUAGGGGGAUAAGCUUCUAGCGUCAAGAGGGAAACAGCCCAGAUCAUCAGCUAAGGUCCCUAAAUAAUAACUAAGUGAUAAAGGAUGUAAAUCGACAUAGACAACCAGGAGGUUGGCCUAGAAGCAGCAAUUUCCUUUAAAAAGUGCGUAAUAGCUUACUGGUUAAGUCUUUUUGCGCCGAAAAUGAACGGGGCUAAGUUAUUUACCGAAGCUAUGAGAUUUAUCGGUAGAGGAGCGUUCUGUUUUAGUGAGAAGCAAAAAUGGAAGUUUUUGUGGACUAUUCAGAAGUGAGAAUGUCGGCUUAAGUAACGAAAACAUCAGUGGAAAUCUGAUGCCCCGAAAACUCGAGGUUUCCUUUUCAAGGUUCGUCCAAAAAGGGUUAGUCAGGUCCUAAAAUGAGGUUUAAAAACGUAGUUGAUGGAAAACAGGUUAAUAUUCCUGUACAAUAUUUAAUGUUUAAUAGGGACGAAGGAGGCUAUACAAACCAGAUUUUGGUUGUUUUGGUUUAAGUUUUCAAGGUGUUGAGAGAUAUAUAAAAAUAUCUUGAGUUGAGAAACGAAUAAGAAUAUGCUAUGGUAUAUGAACUUGUAGAUGUCAUACUUCCAAGAAAAUCUUUGAUUACUUUAUUUAAAUGUUCCUGUACCAAACCGACACAGGUGAGUUUGUAGAAUAUACUAAGGGGCGCGAGGUAACUGUUUUUAAGGAACUCGGCAAAAUUUCUCUGUAACUUCGGGAUAAAGAGAGCCUUUAAUAGGCCGCAGUGAAUUCGUCCAAGCGACUGUUUACCAAAAACACAGGUCUUUGCUAAGUUGAAAAACUAUGUAUAAGGGCCGACGCCUGCCCAGUGCUUGAAGGUUAAAGAAAUUGGUGAACUUUUUAAGUGUAGCUAGUGACUGAAGCCCUAGUGAACGGCAGUUCUAACUAUGAGAAUUCGAAGGUAGCGAAAUUCCUUGUCGGGUAAGUUCCGACCCGCACGAAAGGCGUAACGAUUUGGAUACUGUCUCAAAAACAGACUCGGUGAAAUAGAAUUAAACGUGAAGAUGCGUUUUACUUGCACUUGGACAGAAAGACCCUAUGAAGCUUUACUGUACCUUGAAAUUGAAUUUGGGCAUCUUUUGCGCAGAAUAGGUGGGAAGCAAAGAUCCUCUUUUUCGGAAGAUGGGGAGCUAACAGUGAGAUACCACUCUAAAGACGUUAGAAUUCUAAUAAUAUUUUGGUAAUCAGAUAUUUGACAUUUUCAGGGGGGCAGUUUUACUGGGGCGGUAGCCUCCUAAAGAGUAACGGAGGCGUACAAAGGUUUUUUCAAUCUAAACGGAAACUAGUUGUAGAGUAUAAAGAUAUAAGAAAGCUUGACUGUAAGACUUAGAAGUCAAACAGAGACGAAAGUCGGUCUUAGUGAUCCGACGGUUGUGUGUGGAAAUGCCGUCGCUUAACCGAUAAAAGUUACUCUAGGGAUAACAGGCUGAUCUCCCCCAAGAGUUCACAUCGACGGGGAGGUUUGGCACCUCGAUGUCGGCUCAUCGCAACCUGGGGCGGAAGUACGUCCCAAGGGUUGGGCUGUUCGCCCAUUAAAGCGGUACGUGAGCUGGGUUCAGAACGUCGAGAGACAGUUCGGUCCAUAUCCGGUGUGAGCGUUAGAGUAUUGAGGGGAAUUUUUCCUAGUACGAGAGGACCGGAAAGAACAUACCACUGAUCUACCAGUUUUAUUUACCUAAAGAAUACGCUGGGUAGUUACGUAUGGAGUGGAUAACUGCUGAAAGCAUAUAAGUAAGAAGCCCACCUCGAGAUUAUUGCUCUUUAUUUAAGGUCAUGACUAGACUAGUCGUUAUAUAGGUAUUCGGUGUACGAGUAGCAAUACUUUUAGCCAAGAUAUACUAAUAGAUCGAAAAUUUUACCCA
rnacentral:rRNA from 1 species